UACGUAGGGUGCAAGCGUUGUCCGGAAUUAUUGGGCGUAAAGAGCGUGUAGGCGGCCAGGUAGGUCUGCUGUGAAAACUCGAGGCUUAACCUCGAGCUGUCGGCGGAAACCAUCUGGCUAGAGUCCGGAAGAGGAGAGUGGAAUUCCUGGUGUAGCGGUGAAAUGCGCAGAUAUCAGGAAGAACACCCGUGGCGAAAGCGGCUCUCUGGAACGGUACUGACGCUGAGACGCGAAAGCGUGGGGAGCGAACAGGG
rnacentral:rRNA from 1 species